AUCCUCAAAUCUAAAAAGCUUGGCGGUCCUUAGAAUAAUAAGAGGAACUUGUAAUUUAAUUGAUGAUCCUCGUAAAAUCUUACUUUUUUUGAGUUAGUAUACUGCCGUCUUAGAUAUAAGUAAACUUAUAUUUUAAAUAAAUCUAUCUAGAAAGUCAGGUCAAAGUGCUGCAAAAUAAAAAAGAUGUUUUAUUAGUUACAUUAUUUUAAAAUGUGGAUAUAAUUAUGAAUAUAUUUAUUUGAAAAAGAAUUUCAGUGUAAUUUUAUUUUAAUAUGAUAAAAUGAAUACUAAACUAAGGGUGUACAAAUCGCCCGUCGCUCGCGGGAA
rnacentral:rRNA from 1 species